UGGGGAAUAUUGCACAAUGGGCGCAAGCCUGAUGCAGCCAUGCCGCGUGUAUGAAGAAGGCCUUCGGGUUGUAAAGUACUUUCAGCGGGGAGGAAGGGAGUAAAGUUAAUACCUUUGCUCAUUGACGUUACCCGCAGAAGAAGCACCGGCUAACUCCGUGCCAGCAGCCGCGGUAAUACGGAGGGUGCAAGCGUUAAUCGGAAUUACUGGGCGUAAAGCGCACGCAGGCGGUUGAUUGAGUCAGAUGUGAAAUCCCCGGACUUAACCCGGGAAUUGCAUCUGAUACUGGUCAGCUAGAGUCUUGUAGAGGGGGGUAGAAUUCCAUGUGUAGCGGUGAAAUGCGUAGAGAUGUGGAGGAAUACCGGUGGCGAAGGCGGCCCCCUGGACAAAGACUGACGCUCAGGUGCGAAAGCGUGGGGAGCAAACAGG
rnacentral:rRNA from 1 species